rnacentral:rRNA from 1 species
CGAACGCUGGCGGCGUGCCUAAUACAUGCAAGUAGAACGCUGAAGGAGGAGCUUGCUUCUCCGGAUGAGUUGCGAACGGGUGAGUAACGCGUAGGUAACCUGCCUGGUAGCGGGGGAUAACUAUUGGAAACGAUAGCUAAUACCGCAUAAGAGUAGAUGUUGCAUGACAUUUGCUUAAAAGGUGCAAUUGCAUCACUACCAGAUGGACCUGCGUUGUAUUAGCUAGUUGGUGGGGUAACGGCUCACCAAGGCGACGAUACAUAGCCGACCUGAGAGGGUGAUCGGCCACACUGGGACUGAGACACGGCCCAGACUCCUACGGGAGGCAGCAGUAGGGAAUCUUCGGCAAUGGACGGAAGUCUGACCGAGCAACGCCGCGUGAGUGAAGAAGGUUUUCGGAUCGUAAAGCUCUGUUGUAAGAGAAGAACGAGUGUGAGAGUGGAAAGUUCACACUGUGACGGUAUCUUACCAGAAAGGGACGGCUAACUACGUGCCAGCAGCCGCGGUAAUACGUAGGUCCCGAGCGUUGUCCGGAUUUAUUGGGCGUAAAGCGAGCGCAGGCGGUUAGAUAAGUCUGAAGUUAAAGGCUGUGGCUUAACCAUAGUACGCUUUGGAAACUGUUUAACUUGAGUGCAAGAGGGGAGAGUGGAAUUCCAUGUGUAGCGGUGAAAUGCGUAGAUAUAUGGAGGAACACCGGUGGCGGAAAGCGGCUCUCUGGCU